rnacentral:rRNA from 1 species
UACAGAGGUCCCAAGCGUUGUUCGGAUUCAUUGGGCGUAAAGGGUGCGUAGGUGGCGCCGUAAGUCGGGUGUGAAAUUUCGGAGCUUAACUCCGAAACUGCAUUCGAUACUGCGGUGCUUGAGGACUGGAGAGGAGAUCGGAAUUCACGGUGUAGCAGUGAAAUGCGUAGAUAUCGUGAGGAAGACCAGUGGCGAAGGCGGAUCUCUGGACAGCUCCUGACGCUGAGGCGCGAAGGCUAGGGGAGCAAACGGG